AUGGUUAUCCUCUUCACCAGACUGGUCCCUCUGUUAGGUCCAGUGUCUCUGUUCCCCCCGUCCUCUGAGCAGUUCUCUUGGGGCUCGGCCACACUGGACUGCCUGCUGAGUGGCUACUCCUCCCAGGAGGCGAUGGUGAGCUGGGAGGUGAACAGAGUGGAGCUGAUGGAGGGGGUCCUGACCACCACAGAAGAAGAGAAGGGUGGUCGCUACAGCUGUAGCAGCACCCUGACCCUGAGCAAGGCACGCUGGGAAGAGGGAGAGAUGUACACCUGCAGGGUCGCCCAUGAUGACACCAGUUAUUCUGUCGUGUCUAGAGACUGGAGAGGAAAUUGUAGGGGGCAAGAGAGUCCCCACAUGGUGCUAGUUCUGGAAACAGUGUUUUAG